rnacentral:lncRNA from 1 species
AAAAAUCAAAUAACAGGAGGCAAUAUUGAUCUGUAUGUAUUGAUACAACUUUCACUAAUUAAAUUUUGGACUUGUAAAUAUUAUCUGCAACAAAGAAUGAAAGAAUAAUAACAAACUCCCAAACAUCGCAACCUUCCUUCCUCCAACAGGAUCCUCCUCCACUUCCGAAAACCCUCGUACAAGAAAUCCCUCAAUGCUCCUCCACUUUCGUCGUAAAAAGCGUCUGCAGUUGCAAAACGCAGUUCACUCUACCCGCAGUUCACUCUACCCGGAGAUGUGACGGUGCCGUGAAAGAUUGAGGAAUCUAGGAUGAAAAGAAAGGAAAAUGCGAUAGUGCCUUGAAUGUCUUCUAUCAAAGGGAAGCAAAAAAAAAAGGUCUUAAAAAACCAAUUAAGUCUGGACUUACCAAUAAAUCAUGAAAACAAAAAAGAAUAGGAUCCUCUUCCUGCAACUUCAGAGAGCACGAAGAUAACUGCUUCAAGUAUCAGGAGAAUAACUGCUUCAAUUUUAG